ACUCCCAUGUUUAUUAGACUAUUAAAUACUUGACAAAUAAGGUACAUUUUGAACAGAUAAAAAAUUUGUGAUUAAUUUGCGAUUAAAUAUUUUAAUUUAUUGACAGCUCUAUUUAUAACCAAGGUUUAAGACUAUAUGAGUUGUAGUAUGGAAUAACGAUGAUGACUUCUGUUUUUUUACUUUACAUUGUGUGCUUUUGUUUAUUUAUUUCUGCUGCAGUGUUUCGGUUGAACUAAAGAGAUUCAUCAUCUCUUUGAGCGUGUUGAUCUUCAUUGUAAUGGUGGCCUUGUUCAUCUGGUUUAUGUUGAAAAGACACAAGCAGACCAAAGCAACAUCAUCUGCCAUGACAGCGAAGUCACAUGCUGAGAGUGAUGUGGACGUGACGUAUAGUUCCGUGGUUACCACGAGGCCACAACGUGUACGAAGGGUUGAAGCAAAUGAUGAGAAUGUUACAUACAGCACAUUGGCUUAGCACAUCACCCCUGCUUGUUACACCUUCGCACUACUUUAUCCUCUUCCACAUACUUUUCAAAGAAGAUGUUUGAUUGCCAAGUGUUUCGUUAUACCAUUGACAACACGAAUCUGGGGUUUAACUGUUUAACUGUAUUAUUUAUUAGGCCUUAAGCUCACAUUAAUACAUAACCUUGACACACAGUGUCGGGGUUUCCAUGUUUCCAAACAUCUUAAAUGUGUAAAGCUCACUCAGUGUACCGUAUCUCAUUAAAAAACAGCCACUUCUUAAAUACAA